UACGUAGGGGGCAAGCGUUGUCCGGAAUCAUUGGGCGUAAAGCGCGUGUAGGCGGCUUCGUAAGUCCGUUGUGAAAGUCCAGGGCUCAACCCUGGAAUGCCGAUGGAUACUGCGGAGCUAGAGUCCGGAAGAGGCGAGUGGAAUCCUGGUGUAGCGGUGAAAUGCGCAGAUAUCAGGAGGAACACCAAUGGCGAAGGCAGCUCGCUGGGACGGUACUGACGCUGAGACGCGAAAGCGUGGGGAGCAAACAGG
rnacentral:rRNA from 1 species